UCUUCAAUAAUAUAACAGCUUUAAAUGGUAUUUGGCAGAUUCAACUCCAGCUUUCCACAUACUGUGUCAAUUAAUGGCUGCUGGAGAUUUGAAAUGUCAAUUUGUACCUUCAUUCAAAAGUGUAUUAAAAAUUUUAAAGAUGAAGGUGUGGCUUUCAAUAAAGCAUUCAGAAAUUUCAGUCUCAUAAACCAGUAGCAGUGUUUGUACUACUGACAAGUAUUUCUCAUUGGUUAAUUCGAACAAUUUAACGUUUAACGUUUUCACUCAGCAUUUUAUGACCAUUCCACCAUAGGAAAAGUUGGCCAAGUUACAUGGAUUUAUGUCUCUCAUUAGGCAAUCUGCAGGGUUGUUACCCUACAUGUCCCCAGAAUGCACUCAAUAGCACUCUGACGGUAGAAGUUAUUUUUACAUGGUCGUUAUUGAUGACCCGCAAGUAAACAACCGCUCCAUAAGCAAACUUGACAGUAUCUGCUAAACCAUGUAAUUCGUACCUUUCAGUAUUUGGAUUAAAAUCUAACUAUAUAGAUAUUUUUAUGUCAUUUAAAAUAAAUAAUCCACUAUAACAGGUUAA